AUAUUGAAGGCUUAAUGGAACAAAGUUUGAACUUCCCCAAGAAAGAAGAAAUGCUACUCUCAGGCUUCACCUCUAAAAGUUGCAUACUGCAACUUUUCCCUCAGUCUCCAGCCCACAAACCCGCUACAUUAGACUUUAGACCCACAAGUCCUCUAUAAUUGUGUGAGUCAUUUUCUUAAAGUAAAUCUGUUUCUCUCUCUCUUUUUGUUCUCUCUCUCUGUCUCUCCACAUACGUAUACACAUCCUGUAGCUCCUGGUGCUCUGGGGACGCCUAAUACAGCCAAUAUUAGCAACAUUAAUAGCAUUCUCAAUAAAUUACAGAAAAAUUUUGGCUAGAAUCAUCUGAGGUGCUGAAUAAAAAUUCAGAUUUCUGGGCCCUACUCAGAAUGGGAAGAGUAGAGUUACCUCCGGGACAUGGUGAUUGAGUUGGGUUUUGAAAGAUGUGUAGAAUUUCACCCUGGAGACACAGGCGGUUGAGGGCAAAAAGGGCCUUCCAAGCAAAAGGAACUGUAGAUUAAAAUAUACAAUUAUGAGAGGUGAAUUUUGAAGGAGUGCUU
rnacentral:lncRNA from 1 species